rnacentral:ribozyme from 13 species
GAUGUCUUUUGAUGUUUUUGAACAUCUUUUUUUGUUUUUUUUUUUUGUUUUUUU